rnacentral:rRNA from 1 species
AACGAACGCUGGCGGCGUGCUUAACACAUGCAAGUCGAACGCGAAAGGGACUUCGGUCCCGAGUAGAGUGGCGCACGGGUGAGUAACGCGUAAGUAAUCUACCCCUGUAUCUGGAAUAACCCACCGAAAGGUGAGCUAAUACCGGAUACGUUUAUCUUGAUGCGAAUGAUGAUAAAGAAAGGAGGCCUCUUCAUGAAAGCUACUGUACAGGGAUGGGCUUGCGUACCAUUAGCUAGUUGGUAGGGUAAAGGCCUACCAAGGCGACGAUGGUUAGCGGGUCUGAGAGGAUGAUCCGCCACACUGGAACUGGAACACGGACCAGACUCCUACGGGAGGCAGCAGUGAGGAAUAUUGCGCAAUGGGGGCAACCCUGACGCAGCGACGCCGCGUGGAUGAUGAAGGCCCUUGGGUCGUAAAAUCCUGUCAGAUGGAAAGAAAUGUAUAGCAGCUAACAUCUGUUAUAUUUGACGGUACCAUCAAAGGAAGCACCGGCUAACUCCGUGCCAGCAGCCGCAGUAACAC